rnacentral:rRNA from 1 species
GAUAACAGCCAUAUCACCCUGCAGCCCAAGACCGGUUACUCCCUAAAGCUAAGCAGGGCUGAGCCUGGCCAGUACCUGGCUGGGAGACCACAUGGGAAAACGAGGUUGCUGUUGGAA